UAUAACAAAUUAUUUUUUGAGUAAUUUAUUGAUGUUUUUUUUUUUCCAACUUUGUCCUAAAAACACGCAACUGUCUCAUGCAACCUUUCCUCUCUGUGAAAGAUCUGAAGACGGAGUCAGCGCGAGAAAGAGAGAGGGAUGGGUCUGUUCUCCAACAGGAUCGAUGAGGCGAGUCUGAAACCCGGGGAUCAUAUCUACUCGUGGAGAGCUGCUUACAUCUACGCCCAUCACGGUCUUCACUCUUCUCCGAUUCUUUCUUCUGCUCCUUUCCCCCUUUCCAAUGUUCAAUCUUUCUUAGACCCUUUUGCUGUUUUCACUGAAAAUCGCGUGAUAGAUGUCAAGUUUUGGUGUUUGUGUUGUGAUCGAUCUAGGCUUAUGAUCGGAUCGCGAGAGUUGAAGGGUUUCUGGGAAUUUCGGUUGACGGAUUAGGGCAUAAACUUCAUGAGUGAGAUCGCGUCUGCAUAUCAUCAGUGAAACGGGAGUGUGAAACGUUGUCAAUCCAUCUCACUUGCAAGUAGCGAGACUGAAUCAUCUGUUUGAUGGGUUUACUAGUCUGUCCUAUUACAAGUUUCGGUUUCUUAGGACGAAACGAAACCAAAAUUUUGACAAAAGGGGUCAGAUAUUGCUGGUUAUGUGAGUUUAUAGUUCUUUUUGUCUGAGAAGAGAUUCAGAAACAUAUGAACUUAAGGUCUUUGUUGCUGCCAGCAAUCUGAUAUCUGCCCUCUUAGCUUAUGGCAAUAACAAGAUUGUUCCUUUAUAGAUACUGAUUUUCCCGAGUUCAA